rnacentral:rRNA from 9 species
AAAACGACUCUCGGCAACGGAUAUCUAGGCUCUUGCAUCGAUGAAGAACGUAGCGAAAUGCGAUACUUGGUGUGAAUUGCAGAAUCCCGUGAACCAUCGAGUCUUUGAACGCAAGUUGCGCCCGAAGCCUUCUGGCCGAGGGCACGUCUGCCUGGG